AUUCAGCAUUGUCAUGGGUGGGGUGAGUCCUUAAUCGCACAAAGAUACAGAGCACUACAUCUUGAGUUAGCAUUAGUUAAAACUUAACUGAGCACUACCCUAUUAUCUUAACUCUUAAAAUAUCUGAGGCAUAAGUAUGUGUGUAUUUGUUUUAUUCAUAAUUUGAGUCAUCUUGGGAUACCAAAUGUAUUUCUACUUAAGGUGAUUUGACAAAACUGUUGACCUCAUUUCAAGAUAUCACUGAUCGAUUUUCCAUUCAACAGCAAUACCCAAUGUCAAAAGGAACAUAAAACAAACAUGCACACAAUUGUACAGUUUUCUCAGAUGUCUAUUUCAUUAUUUGUGGGUAGCGCAUUGAACAGUUAAAUACAUUUAAAUAAUGUUUAAGUGACUGCGCUAGUGCAGACUUGUAACUAGACGGGUAACCAAUUUAACUAGAAACCAGCUAACAAGUAACUGUCUAAAUACAAAUACAGCUCUUGUACUCUUUUUGGGAAAAAGCCUGCUGGUCACAUUGGAAAUACGUUUUAAGGCCAAAUUCUUCUGAUAUCCCUUCUCUGCAGCAGUUUCUUCACCUUUUUAGGCCUCCAAUUCCAGGCCAAGACCAAGUUUAUGGCCACCAGCAUUGAUGCUCUUUCCAUCUAUCAGGGCAGACAAAGUAAGCUUCACACCUGGCCUCAGGGUCUGGGUGUAACCCACUCCAACUAGACUAGAGUUGUUCACUUUUGCAGAGAUAGAAGCGGUGGAAUCCAACUUGUAUUUAGCUGCAAUUCCAAAGCGAGUGCUGUUGCUACCAGCUGUCCAUGCCAGGUUUACAGCAGUCUCAAGAUUGUCACUCACUUUCUGGUAAAUUGAACCGCCAAAUUCCGAACCAUCAUUGACAUUGGUGUGAAGCUGGAAGUCUCCAGUCUUGUAACCCACAGAGAAGUUAUUCCUUGUCAAUUUUGAUUUGGCACUAUCAAAAGUCAUUUGAUAGCCCGCUAGCCAUCCUUCAUAACCAAAGACCGCUGAACCAUGGAUUGCAGGCCCAGCAAAAUCAAAGUCAACGUCACAACCUAGGUUUAGGCAUUCACGUUUAUAUGCUGACUUAAUUUUACCACUUUUCUUUCCUGUAUUUGGUGAGAAAGUUGUAUCAAACGUCAACUUCAAGCCUUUGGCAAUCUGAUCUUCAAUUGCAAUUUCUGUUCCCAGAGUGUUAUCUGUGUUCCACUUUUCUGUGAAAGUCAGCCCAUACUCAGCCCACUUGUAUUUGGUCUCCAAGCUUCCAUUCACUUUUCCAGUGUCUGUGUUCGAUGAACCAGAUGUUGUGAAUUCCACUCCACUUGCAGAUUUUGUCUUCACAUCCAGUUUCACCAGCCCAAACCCAUAUCCUUUGUUGAAGAUAUCUCUGGCAGAUUUGCCAAGGUCUGCAUAUGAUGGAGGAAUCGCCAUUGGAGCUUGCUAGCGUGGGAGGGCGGCGGGGCCGGGCGGAGCGGGACCGGGGGCGCGGGCGGGUCUCGCCGUGAGGAGGCCGCGCUGCUGCAGCCGCUGGCACUGGAGGGCGAAGUGAAGGAGACACCGAUCCGCCCGCCCGCCGCCGCCCCGCAGGACCCCGGUCGGCCGGGGCCGUCCCGCGAGGUGCCGGUCCCCACGGAGCUCCCCGCGCGCCCGUCCGACCGCCCCGAGCAACCCCAGAACGGGGACACGAGACACCGGCCGUGCGGAACGCCGUGCCCUCGGCGCGGAGCCGGGCGGGGGCGGCGCGGGCCGGCAGGCGCUGAUCCGGGCAGCCCCGGCGGCGGAGAGGGGUCCUCGGGGGUGGGCGGGGCCCGCGGAGGAGGGCGGCAACGGCCGCGCCCGGCACCCGCGACGCGUCCGCCGCUCCCCCCGCGCCGAGCGGGUGCGGCCCCGCGGGGUGCGGGACGGGUGGAGCGCCUGCCUUGGCUCGACUGCCUCCGUCAGUCUAGCGGCCCUCACGCGGAGAGCCCCGUACACCGGUCACGGGCCUCACCCGCGGCCCGCCUGGCAAAAGUGCGACCUGAGAAACUUCCGCCCCGUAACGCUGCCGCUCUGCCUCUGCUCACGGGAGGGCCCCGCGCACACCGGCACACACAGCGUGGCUCGGGGCGAGCAGCGACCCUGACAGCUCCGUACGCUGCGAUUCCGUUCGUCAGGAACGGCCGGACGACAGCGCAGUGAUCGCCUUGCGGCAGCCCAAGUCCUCCCAGGCCCAGCGGCUGCAGCGCGGGCACUCCCUACGAGCACUCACUAUGUUAGCCAUGGUCAGAACGCGUCAUAAAAGUGAAAGCGAUUUACAACUGCAAAUUAUAUUUGAAUAACAUGAAGAACAUGUUAACAAGCACUACCGGUUCCCCAUAACACAGGGUGCAACAGCAGUUUUCCAUGUUACUGGAGCAGACAGCCUGGCAGUAAGGCCCAGCAAUGCCCAUAGCAUCUAGUUCUGUCAGCUGGUAAGCAGUUGGGUCUUCUUUGCCUAAGCCCCGUGCUCGCCCAUCUGAAGACCCACCAGGUUAAUGCAUUUUAUCCAUGAAUUAAGAAAAAACACAUGGAGAGAACAAACAAUAGCCAGCCAGACUGAUUGCACUUGUAACAGAGGUCUUGUUGACUAAAAAUAGACCGUGGCAUAAGUUGUUCAUAAUGUAAGUUCAUUCUGAGUAGAAUUUCAGUUACUUACAUCAGAAUGGUAGGGUGAAGGUUUUUUUUUUUUUUUAUAUUAGUCAUGGUUUGGCUUUGUCAUUUUAAGCAAUCCAGUAAAGUACUUACUGCCCCACCCUGGAGGAAGAAGUUCUGAAUCACUUAUCUUAUGAAACAGUACAUACACAGUACACACACUCCACAGUGAAUGCUGCAGGCUUCUGCAGUUAGAGCCCAUCUCCAUUUCCCACACACUCCUACAAUCCCCCCUUGUACCCCACAGCAUAGCCUCAGAACCUCAGCAUACCACAAAAGGAAUGCCUUCAGGCCUGC
rnacentral:lncRNA from 1 species